GGAGAAGCUGGUGCGCUUUGUCGCAGAGCAGCACUCCUGGCCCAGGACCCAGAGAAGCCGAAAGAGGAGAUCCAGCGGGGGCCGAGGAAGCUGAGGCCUGGCUGCUGCCUGACACUAACAAGAUUUCUCCUGUGGCUCGGAGUUCUACGUGCAUGGAAGAGAAUUCUGGGAAAGAUUGUUUCAGCUUGGCUAAAUCGACGGGGUGCAAAGUAGUCACCACAUGGGGAGACAGUGGGUGAUUUCAACCAUGAACCACUUUCUCCUUAUGACCUGUGGGAUCUGGAUGGCCUUUCCCUUCCACAAGAUAUCACACUGGUCCAUUACAUUGAUGACCCCAUGGGGACUGGACCCAGUGAGCGAGAGGUAGCAACUUCUCCAGACUUACUGAGAAGAAAUUUGUGUGUCAGAGGGUGGGAAAUAAAUCCAACUAAAAUUCAGGGGCUUUGUACCUCAGUGAAAUUUCUAGAGGUCAGUGGUGUGGAGCAUGUCGAGAUAUC